AAUUCGAUUGAGUUUGAUCCUGGCUCAGGACGAACGCUGGCGGCGUGCCUAACACAUGCAAGUUGAGCGACUAACCAGGGCUUGCCCUGGGGCAAAGCAGCGAACGGGUGAGUAACACGUGGGUAACCUGCCGAGAUGACCGGGACAACCCGAGGAAACUCGGGCUAUACCGGAUGUGUUCACCACACAUCAGUGUGGUGAGGAAAGGAAGCUUCGGCCUCCGCAUCUCGAGGGGCCCGCGGCCCAUUAGCUUGUUGGCGAGGUAACGGCUCACCAAGGCAACGAUGGGUAGCUGGUCUGAGAGGACGAUCAGCCACACUGGGACUGAGACACGGCCCAGACUCCUACGGGAGGCAGCAGUGGGGAAUCUUGCGCAAUGCGCGAAAGCGUGACGCAGCAACGCCGCGUGUGGGAAGACGGCCUUCGGGUUGUAAACCACUUUCAGGAGGGACGAAGGGUCGGCCGCGAAUAGCGAGCCGGCUUGACGGUACCUUCAGAAGAAGCUCCGGCUAACUACGUGCCAGCAGCCGCGGUAAUACGUAGGGAGCAAGCGUUGUCCGGAAUAAUUGGGCGUAAAGCGCGCGUAGGCGGCUCGAUAAGUCUGUUGUGAAAGUCAAAGGCUCAACCUUUGAAUGCCGAUGGAUACUGUCGAGCUAGAGUCCGGAAGAGGCGAGUGGAAUUCCUGGUGCAGCGGUGGAAUGCGCAGAUAUCAGGAGGAACACCA
rnacentral:rRNA from 1 species